GAUGAACGCUGGCGGCGUGCCUAAUACAUGCAAGUCGAGCGAACGGACGAGAAGCUUGCUUUUCUGAUGUUAGCGGCGGACGGGUGAGUAACACGUGGAUAACCUACCUAUAAGACUGGGAUAACUUCGGGAAACCGGAGCUAAUACCGGAUAAUAUUUUGAACCGCAUGGUUCAAAAGUGAAAGACGGUCUUGCUGUCACUUAUAGAUGGAUCCGCGCUGCAUUAGCUAGUUGGUAAGGUAACGGCUUACCAAGGCAACGAUGCAUAGCCGACCUGAGAGGGUGAUAGGCCACACUGGAACUGAGACACGGUCCAGACUCCUACGGGAGGCAGCAGUAGGGAAUCUUACGCAAUGGGCGAAAGCCUGACGGAGCAACGCCGCGUGAGUGAUGAAGGUCUUCGGAUCGUAAAACUCUGUUAUUAGGGAAGAACAUAUGUGUAAGUAACUGUGCACAUCUUGACGGUACCUAAUCAGAAAGCCACGGCUAACUACGUG
rnacentral:rRNA from 1 species